rnacentral:rRNA from 1 species
GAUGAACGCUGGCGGCGUGCCUAAUACAUGCAAGUCGAGCGAACAGACGAGGAGCUUGCUCCUCUGACGUUAGCGGCGGACGGGUGAGUAACACGUGGAUAACCUACCUAUAAGACUGGGAUAACUUCGGGAAACCGGAGCUCAUACCGGAUAACAUGUUGAACCGCAUGGUUUAACAGUGAAAGACGGUCUUGCUGUCACUUAUAGAUGGAUCCGCGCCGCAUUAGCUAGUUGGUAAGGUAACGGCUUACCAAGGCAACGAUGCGUAGCCGACCUGAGAGGGUGAUCGGCCACACUGGAACUGAGACACGGUCCAGACUCCUACGGGAGGCAGCAGUAGGGAAUCUUCGGCAAUGGGCGAAAGCCUGACGGAGCAACGCCGCGUGAGUGAAGAAGGUCUUCGGAUCGUAAAACUCUUUUAUUAGGGAAGAACAAAUGUGGAAGUAACUAUGCACGUCUUGACGGUACCUAAUCAGAAAGCCACGGCUAACUACGUG